GUCAAUAUAUUUGAGUGGUUAAGGAGAUAGACUUGAAAUCUAUUAGGUUUUGCUUGCGCAGGUUCGAAUUUUGCUGUUGACG
rnacentral:tRNA from 1 species